rnacentral:rRNA from 1 species
GCUGGCGGCGUGCUUAACACAUGCAAGUCGAACGGAAAGGCCCUUCGGGGUGCUCGAGUGGCGAACGGGUGAGUAACACGUGGGUGAUCUGCCCUGCACUUUGGGAUAAGCCUGGGAAACUGGGUCUAAUACCGAAUACACCCUGCUGGUCGCAUGGCCUGGUGGGGGAAAGCUUUUGCGGUGUGGGAUGGGCCCGCGGCCUAUCAGCUUGUUGGUGAGGUUACGGCUCACCAAGGCGACGACGGGUAGCCGGCCUGAGAGGGUGACCGGCCACACUGGGACUGAGAUACGGCCCAGACUCCUACGGGAGGCAGCAGUGGGGAAUAUUGCACAAUGGGCGCAAGCCUGAUGCAGCGACGCCGCGUGGGGGAUGACGGCCUUCGGGUUGUAAACCUCUUUCAGUAGGGACGAAGCGCAAGUGACGGUACCUACAGAAGAAGGACCGGCCAACUACGUGCCAGCAGCCGCGGUAAUACGUAGGGUCCGAGCGUUGUCCGGAAUUACUGGGCGUAAAGAGCUCGUAGGUGGUUUGUCGCGUUGUUCGUGAAAACCGGGGGCUUAACCCUCGGCGUGCGGGCGAUACGGGCAGACUUGAGUAUUGCAGGGGAGACUGGAAUUCCUGGUGUAGCGGUGGAAUGCGCAGAUAUCAGGAGGAACACCGGUGGCGAAGGCGGGUCUCUGGGCAGUAACUGACGCUGAGGAGCGAAAGCGUGGGGAGCGAACAGGAUUAGAUACCCUGGUAGUCCACGCCGUAAACGGUGGGUACUAGGUGUGGGUUUCCUUCCUUGGGAUCCGUGCCGUAGCUAACGCAUUAAGUACCCCGCCUGGGGAGUACGGCCGCAAGGCUAAAACUCAAAGAAAUUGACGGGGGCCCGCACAAGCGGCGGAGCAUGUGGAUUAAUUCGAUGCAACGCGAAGAACCUUACCUGGGUUUGACAUGCACAGGACGCUGGUAGAGAUAUCAGUUCCCUUGUGGCCUGUGUGCAGGUGGUGCAUGGCUGUCGUCAGCUCGUGUCGUGAGAUGUUGGGUUAAGUCCCGCAACGAGCGCAACCCUUGUCUCAUGUUGCCAGCACGUUAUGGUGGGGACUCGUGAGAGACUGCCGGGGUCAACUCGGAGGAAGGUGGGGAUGACGUCAAGUCAUCAUGCCCCUUAUGUCCAGGGCUUCACACAUGCUACAAUGGCCGGUACAAAGGGCUGCGAUGCCGUGAGGUGGAGCGAAUCCUUUCAAAGCCGGUCUCAGUUCGGAUCGGGGUCUGCAACUCGACCCCGUGAAGUCGGAGUCGCUAGUAAUCGCAGAUCAGCAACGCUGCGGUGAAUACGUUCCCGGGCCUUGUACACACCGCCCGUCACGUCAUGAAAGUCGGUAACACCCGAAGCCGGUGGCCUAACCC